GGAGAUUAGAUCAACCAACAUAAAACUUAGGGACAUGUUGACAUUUUAUUCUCUCCAUCAGAUAACUUUCAAAAGAAACUCAAACAUUCAGAAAUCAUUUUCACUACAAAGAAAGCAAGUUAAGAAAAAUAGUUAUUUCCAAGUGGAAAUUUCUUCAAUGCAGUCAGGUUCUACCCAAACCAGCCACCCUUUCUCUUCCAUCAUGACUGA
rnacentral:lncRNA from 1 species